GGACGAGGAGGGGCGACGACGAGCUGCGAGCAAAGAUGUGCCCCGGGACCCCCGGCACCUUCCAGUGGAUUUCCUUGCGGAAAGGAUGUUGGCGGUCCCUGUGACCUGUGGAGACACGGCCAGAUCUGCCCUCCAGAUUUAUUAGGAGAAAAACCUUCCCGGAAGCUGCAGAAGGACAAAUACAGAAUCCGUGUCUGGGAGAAACCUCGUGGCCUGGUCUCCAUUAUUUGAGAUGAGUUACAUCUUGGAGGCCUGAUCUUUUGGCCAGAAGGAGAUUAAAAAGAUGCCCCUCAAGAUGGCUGUGCCUGUCAGCUGCAUGGAGCUUCGUUCAAGUAUUUUCUGAGCCUGAUGGAUUUACAGUGAUCUUCAGUGGUCUGGGGAAUAACGCUGGUGGAACCAUGCACUGGAAUGACACACGCCCGGCACAUUUCAGGAUACUAAAAGUGGUUUUAAGGGAGGCUGUGGCUGAAUGCCUCAUGGAUUCUUACAGCUUGGAUGUCCAUGGGGGACGAAGGACUGCAGCUGGCUGAGAGGGUUGAGAUCUCUGUUUACUUAGAUCUCUGCCAACUUCCUUUGGGUCUCCCUAUGGAAUGUAAGACCCCGACUCUUCCUGGUGAAGCAUCUGAUGCACGUUCCAUCCGGCGCUCAGCUGGGCUUGAGGACUUCGCAGGUGAGCAGUAACGGAAAUCAGCCCCGUUUAUUCCUCCCAGCACCUGCCUUAUCCAACUCCCCACGCUGUGGCUGAGUCCCAGCCUGCUAUGGAAGCAUCACUGGACUCCCAUUGAACUCUGUGCAGAUUCGCUGUUCGUAGACAUGGUACCUGAUGGACACCAAGCUACGUACAGCUUCAAGGCCCCUUCUUUCUUUGCUAAUAAAAAAUAAAAAAUAAAAACAUAA
rnacentral:lncRNA from 1 species